rnacentral:rRNA from 1 species
GACGAACGCUGGCGGCGUGCUUAACACAUGCAAGUCGAACGGAAAGGCCCUGCUUUUGUGGGGUGCUCGAGUGGCGAACGGGUGAGUAACACGUGAGUAACCUGCCCUUGACUUUGGGAUAACUUCAGGAAACUGGGGCUAAUACAGGAUAGCAGCUCCUGCUGCAUGGUGGGGGUUGGAAAGUUUCGGCGGUUGGGGAUGGACUCGCGGCUUAUCAGCUUGUUGGUGGGGUAGUGGCUUACCAAGGCUUUGACGGGUAGCCGGCCUGAGAGGGUGACCGGCGACAUGGGGACUGAGAGACGGCGCAGACUCGUACGGGAGGCAGCGGUGGGGAGUAUUGCACAAUGGGCGGAAGCCUGAUGAAGCAACGCCGCGUGCGGGAUGACGGUCUUCGGGGUGUAAACCGCUUUCGCCUGUGACGAAGCGUGAGUGACGGUAAUGGGUAAAGAAGCACCGGCUAACUACGUG